ACCGGAUAGGACGAAAGUUUAAAGGUGCUUCGGCACCACUGAUGGAUGAGCCUGCGGCGCAUUUAGCUAGUUGGUAGGGUAAAGGCCUACCAAGGCGACGAUGCGUAGCCGACCUGAGAGGGUGAACGGCCACACUGGGACUGAGACACGGCCCAGACUCCUACGGGAGGCAGCAGUAGGGAAUCUUCGGCAAUGGGCGAAAGCCUGACCGAGCAACGCCGCGUGAAUGAUGAAGGCCUUCGGGUUGUAAAAUUCUGUUAUAAGGGAAGAAUGGCUCUAGUAGGAAAUGGCUAGAGUGUGACGGUACCUUAUGAGAAAGCCACGGCUAAAUACGUGCCAGCAGCCGCGGUAAUACGUAGGUGGCGAGCGUUAUCCGGAAUUAUUGGGCGUAAAGAGCGCGCAGGUGGUUGAUUAAGUCUGAUGUGAA
rnacentral:rRNA from 1 species